UCUUCUUGAAAUAAUAGGAAGUCGGGCCUGUCCACUGAUUUAUAUGAAGGGCCGCGGUAAUUUGACCGUGCAAAGGUAGCAUAAUCAUUAGUCUUUUAAUUGAGGGCUGGAAUGAAUGGUUUGACGAAAUAAUUUUUGUCUUUAAUAUAAUUUAAUUGAAGUUUACUUUUAAGUUAGAAGGCUUAAAUAUUGAUAAGGGACGAGAAGACCCUAUAGAUCUUUAUUACCUAAUAUAUAAUAUUAAUUUUAGUUGUUUAUGUUUUUAUAUAUUAUGUAAUUUUAUUGGGGUGAUAUGAGAAUAUAAUAACUUCUUAAAUUACAACUUUAAUAAUAGAGUAAUUGAUCCUUUAAUAUGGAAUAAAGAUUAAGAUACCUUAGGGAUAACAGCGUAAUUUAAUUGGAGAGUUCUUAUUGAUAAUUAAGAUUGCGACCUCGAUGUUGGAUUAAGAAUAUAUUUAUUUUGGUGUAGAUGCUAUUAAUAUUAGUCUGUUC
rnacentral:rRNA from 2 species